rnacentral:rRNA from 1 species
GUGGGGAAUAUUGGACAAUGGGGGGAACCCUGAUCCAGCCAUGCCGCGUGUGUGAAGAAGGCCUUUUGGUUGUAAAGCACUUUAAGCGGGGAGGAGGCUCUUGAGGAUAAUACCCUUGAUGAGUGGACGUUACCCGCAGAAUAAGCACCGGCUAACUCUGUGCCAGCAGCCGCGGUAAUACAGAGGGUGCGAGCGUUAAUCGGAUUUACUGGGCGUAAAGCGUGCGUAGGCGGCUGAAUAAGUCGGAUGUGAAAUCCCCGAGCUUAACUUGGGAAUUGCAUUCGAUACUGAUUAGCUAGAGUAUGGGAGAGGAUGGUAGAAUUCCAGGUGUAGCGGUGAAAUGCGUAGAGAUCUGGAGGAAUACCGAUGGCGAAGGCAGCCAUCUGGCCUAAUACUGACACUGAGGUGCGAAAGCAUGGGGAGCAAACAGGAUUAGAAACCCGAGUAGUCC